rnacentral:lncRNA from 1 species
GCAAGACCUCUAUGUUCCAAAUAGAAGUUUCCAUAUAGAUGUUUCAAACAAUGUCUAUGCUCUGCAUGAGGGAAUAUAGCAUCCACAGCAUCUAUUAACCUUUUUGUUUGUCAGUCAUAAAUACAUAACCAUGGCUAUUUGUUAUAUUCAGAUCACCACUCAAUAAUUCUAAAAACCACAGCCACGUUGAAUUGCUCUCAAUCUCUACAUAUGCAUAGGCAAGUGGAAACAUUCCGUUGUUUGCAUCAACUCCCAUUGCAGAAAGCACUUGCCUAGGGUGAGGCCCUUUGACAUGACACCCAUCCAAGCAAACCACAGGCCUACAACCAUCUAAAAACCCCUUCUUGCAGGGCUGCAAGACAGAUGUAAAUUCUCUGAAACCUUGGCCUAUCACCUUCCAUUUCAGAUUUAAUGAUAACUGUACUUCCCACAUUUCUGGUUCUUAACUCAUGACAAUAAUCCCACAAUACUUCAUAUUGUUUACUGUAAGACCCCUCUACAAUGUCAACUGCCAUGGCUCUUGCUCUGUACACAGUUGCUCUAGAUGGUCUGUAACCAUAGUCUUGGUGAACUUGCUCUGCAAAAGAAGAAGCAGUCCAAUUUGGAUUGAGCCUUAACUGCCCUGAAUAUCUUUCAGCCAACCAGGCAGCAGUGGCAUGUAUAUUUUUAGUCCCCUUACUACAAACAUGUGUAGGAUUAAAGGUUUUCACCUGCAGGUAAGUGCUACCACUAACACUUGAAGCAUGGAUAACAAAAGGACAGCCCUCUUCACAUACUACUCUUAUUUUGUUACGGUCAUUAUUCAUAAAUAUCAACUCCCUUCCACAAUUAAUGGAGUAUAUCCUCACAGCUUUUCUAAACAACUCGGCAGUUGCAAACUUUAAACCUAUUUUGAAACCUGGGUUUGCCAUAUCAAUUUCAGGUCUGAAAUCUUCACCUUUUGGCAUCCUAUUCUUCUUCCUUCUUACUUCACCUACUGCAUCAUCUUCACUUGAAGAGCUAUUUGGGCAGGUAAGUGUAGGUGACUCUUCUCCAUUGUCUGACUCAUCAUUUUCCUCUGCAUUAGGAUCAUUGUCAAUGCAACUAUGAUCCAUAUAACCUUCAAACCACUUAUCAUCCUUCUUCAAUAAGUCAAUCUCUUCAUCACUCUGUGCAUAGUCACUGUCUUCAAAGUUUGGAUCACUGCUAUCAU